rnacentral:rRNA from 1 species
GACGAACGCUGGCGGCGUGCUUAACACAUGCAAGUCGAACGGAGAAGCUCCAGCUUGCUGGAGUGGAUCAGUGGCGAACGGGUGAGUAACACGUGAGCAACCUGCCCCUGACUCUGGAAUAAGCGCUGGAAACGGCGGCUAAUACUGGAUACGAGAAGGGUCCGCAUGGGCACUUUCUGGAAAGUUUGUCGGUUGGGGAUGGGCUCGCGGCCUAUCAGCUUGUUGGUGAGGUAGUGGCUCACCAAGGCGACGACGGGUAGCCGGCCUGAGAGGGCGACCGGCCACACUGGGACUGAGACACGGCCCAGACUCCUACGGGAGGCAGCAGUGGGGAAUAUUGCACAAUGGGCGGAAGCCUGAUGCAGCGACGCCGCGUGAGGGAUGACGGCCUUCGGGUUGUAAACCUCUUUCAGCAGGGAAGAAGCGAAAGUGACGGUACCUGCAGAAGAAGCACCGGCUAACUACGUG